CCUGUAAACGGCGCGCCUCCGCGGCUCCAAUUUAUUUCGGGGCAGUUCUUGCCCGGGGAGGAUACUUAAUGCUCGGGUCCGCGCAGCAGAGUCAGUCCUCCCAGAGCCCGCCGGGACCCCCAUGCGUCUGGCAGGCGCGGGGGCCGGCCACAUU
rnacentral:snoRNA from 18 species